UAGAGUUUGAUCAUGGCUCAGAUUGAACGCUGGCGGCAUGCCUUACACAUGCAAGUCGAACGGCAGCGGACCUUCGGGUGCCGGCGAGUGGCGAACGGGUGAGUAAAGUAUCGGAACGUACCUUUCAGUGGGGGAUAACGUAGCGAAAGUUACGCUAAUACCGCAUAUUCUGUGAGCAGGAAAGCAGGGGAUCGCAAGACCUUGCGCUGAUUGAGCGGCCGAUAUCAGAUUAGCUAGUUGGUGGGGUAAAGGCCUACCAAGGCGACGAUCUGUAGCGGGUCUGAGAGGAUGAUCCGCCACACUGGGACUGAGACACGGCCCAGACUCCUACGGGAGGCAGCAGUGGGGAAUUUUGGACAAUGGGCGCAAGCCUGAUCCAGCCAUGCCGCGUGAGUGAAGAAGGCCUUCGGGUUGUAAAGCUCUUUCGGCCGGGAAGAAAUCGCAUGGGCUAAUACCCUGUGUGGAUGACGGUACCGGAAUAAGAAGCACCGGCUAACUACGUGCCAGCAGCCGCGGUAAUACGUAGGGUGCGAGCGUUAAUCGGAAUUACUGGGCGUAAAGCGUGCGCAGGCGGUUUUUUAAGAUAGGCGUGAAAUCCCCGGGCUCAACCUGGGAACUGCGCUUAUGACUGGAAGACUAGAGUAUGGCAGAGGGGGGUGGAAUUCCACGUGUAGCAGUGAAAUGCGUAGAGAUGUGGAGGAACACCGAUGGCGAAGGCAGCCCCCUGNNNCAAUACUGACGCUCAUGCACGAAAGCGUGGGGAGCAAACAGGAU
rnacentral:rRNA from 1 species